rnacentral:pre_miRNA from 1 species
CUGUAGGGUGUCAAUGAAACCGUUACCAUUACUGAGUUUAGUAAUGGUAAGGGUUCUGUUGCUGCUCUUCCA